UAAGUAGUUUUGCGUCAGAGCGA
rnacentral:miRNA from 1 species